CCUCCUCCCUGAGCACGCCGCCCCUGCUCUAAUUCUCCUCCCCUCCCAGGCUUGCGGCGCCAAACAGCUGAUUGGCGCUGCAAGCCUGGGAGGCGGGAAAAGUGGAGCGGUGACCGCGUGCUCAGAGAGGGGGCAUAGGAAUGCUGUAAAACAAAUUGGGGGCACCGCUUUUUGGCACCCCCAAAUCUUAGCACCCUAGGCAACCGCCUAGUUUGCCUUAAUGGUAGAACCGGCCCUGAGUCCAGAACUUUAACAAAGGAAUCAAAUUGGUUGAUAUGUUUCUUAGCGAGAGUGUAUUGUGUUGAAAAUCUUAACUUCAGGUGAAGUUUCCCCAAGUUUAAAAGAACAAUGUGAAUUUCCUGUCCAUUAACUGUCAUGAGCAAAGAAAUAUGAAAGUUCCCAGUAUCUCUGCCAUCUCACCUUAAACCUGGUUUUCAGAUUCCCUCUUCUGGUCUCUGAUCUCUCUUGAACAGGAACUUUCAGUCAUGCUAAAACAGGGGUUCUCAAACUGGGGAUUGGGAUCCCUCAGGGGGCCAUGAGGUUAUUACAUGGGGGGUCAUGAGCGGUCAACCUCCACCCCAAACCCCACUUGCCUCCAGCAUUUAUAAUGGUGUUAAAUAUUAAAAAAAAUAUUUUUAAUUUAUAAGGGGGGAUUGCACUCAGAGGCUUGCUAUGUGAAAGGGGUCACCAGUACAAAAAGUUUGAGACCCACUGUGCUAAACUGUAUGAUGGUUUUGUGAUUUAUAUCAAAGAGGUUGGGGUUGAAAUGCAAAAUUCAACUUCACUUGAAUUUUUGUCUGUGAAAGGUGAAACCUAGUGUAUCAAUCUACACUGAAUGGCCAAGUCUCCAUGUUACAGUGACCUGGUUUAAGUUAUAAAUAAUAAUAAAAUAAUAUUAGAUAUAUACAAUUAUAAUAAUAGACAUCUUAUGAUUUCCUACUAAGAAAUAAUAGUUCAAACCUCCUUAGCACCUUUCAACCAGAGUUCUCAGAGCACUUUACAAACACUAAGGAAUGAAGCCUCACAAAAUUGCUGUGAUAAUGGUAAAUAUUCCCAUGAAACUUCUCCAUCGAAAAAAUUCUACAUUCCAAAUGUUUUGACCAGUUGUAACUUUAACCACAACACAAGCACACCGCAUUGUCAUUCCUUUGUAUUAGCAUCCAUUAUAAAAUGAUUUGGUAAUGGGACUAUUUGAAAGAGUAACAUUACUUGUAUGCGUUUGCAGGACUGGGCCCUAAAGAGAAGCUGUAUGUCAAAAUAAACAUAAAUCAAGAGAUUAUGGGCCACAUCUUCAGCUCAGCUCCAUGCUAUGCCAUCUUACACCAUUUGAGGAUGUGGCCUAAAUUAAUCAAUUUAUGUUUAAAUCAGCAUUAAUGCAGGCUGGCUACCACAAGCAGCUGAAGCGUCAUCAGGGGAGCAAGAAGAUGAUGCAAUAGUAGAGCAAAUCUCAGAGCAAACAAAGACUUUCAUCCUCUCUUGGUGACACGUUCCUCAUGCCUGAAUGCAAGAAGGGAGGGAUGGAAGAAGGCGCAAAGAAAGCAAAAGUGGGAGAACUUACAUGGGUGAUUGACAUUCUGAGAUCCCACAGUUGAGGAGAGAGGACUUGGGCGAUGACCAUCACUAGCUGAAGCAGGUUGGCUACAAAAGAGAGCAUUAGUCAGGCGUCAAAAUUUAUCUAUCUGCCUACAUACUUCUAGUGCACCCUUAGGCUCAAAGUGCCAAUGCAACAGGUUGAGUACAGGAACCCCUCUCUCACAUGUGUUUCUGAGAGCCAGAAACUUACCCAUUCCCCCUGCCAGUCAGGACUUAGCUUUAAAACUGUUUGUAAAACUAAGUAAGAAUGGGAAGAGAAGAAAUCAGGGACAGAAAUUGGAGGAAUGAAUAGGAAGCAGAUGGGGAGUUCAAGUGAAGAGAAGAAUCCCAGCGGAGACCUGCAUUUCCAGUUAGGAUGACAACACAUUAAAUUACGCUCCUGAAAAUCUCUUCUUUUUUCCCCACUUUUCUCAAAAGUGGCAAAAAAUAAAAUUCAGCAGAUCAGUGUAAUAUAUAUUAAAAAUUAUUUAAACACAUUUCUAUAGCAAAGAUACAGUGAGUUUCUCUUUGAUUUUCCCUCACUGAACAUCAUUUGAUGUGGAUCAUUGACUGCAGUGGCAGUUUGCACACUGCCAUGCAUUUGAAAGAAUGGGAGACUUGCAUUAUACUUCCCUUAUUAGAGGUUUACUCAAUGCCACUUCACCAUGAACUAUAUCCUGCAAUCCUUAUUCAGGGAAAUCUCCCUUUGUGGCAGAUGUAGGAAUUGGGUCCCACUGUACCAUCAUUCCAUUGUACUUUCAGUCUUUCCUAUACGAAUAUUCAAUACCUUUGGCUACGUCCUAUUAAACAAAAACCAUUUGUGCAGGGCUGAGUCAUGGAUUCAUGCAUCAUCUAAUACACGUGUCUGAGAAGGAAAACUGGCAUGUUCUGCACAUUCAUGAUAUGUGUGGGCAGAGUUUAGCUGAGUGUUCAGAUUGAUGUAAAACCAAAGAUUGUUGUGGUGGAACAGUACCUCUUUUCCACUGCUCUUCUUGUCUCUUGAUAAGAGUUAGACUUUAUAGGAUCCUUCAGUAAAAAUACCCUAUCAUAGGUGAGGAAGUACUAACCCUUGGACAACAGUUUAAGUCUUCAGUUGUACAGUACCACCAGUUCCCACCCCCAUCCCCCAUUUAAUUGCUUACUGCACAUCCUAUUCAUUACAUAGUGCCCAUUAAAUCCAGAUGUAGUGCCCAGAAAGGAGCUGGCCUCUGUCAGCUCAGAGCAGCUAGAUAACACAUUAGCAGAUAACAGAUACUAAGAGAUUCAGGACUGACCACACAUUAACUAUACCUUAUAUUAUAGGAGAGCAUUUUAAAAAAGAGUUAAUGAGUUAAAAAACAAAGAAACUGAUAAAUAUUUCUGAUAAAACUAAGAAACACCAAAGCCCACUCACAGAUUUGCCAGUAGAAGUUAGCACAGCAAAACAGACAGAAAACUGGACAGCAUACUCCCAAAUCUGUGCAGAUUGAAAUGAACAUAUUUAAAUUUCAUUGUCGAUUGAAGAGUGACAAAUACAAAUUAGAAGAUGGGAGUAGGAAACUCAGACUCUGAGCACAGAUCAGCCAAUGGUAUUAACUAAAAUCUGAACUGUUUGCUCUAGGGUUGUGGGCGGGACUGUCUACAUGGCCAUUUUCAUUACACCUUGUUAGCCAACACAUGUAUGUUAGACAUAGGGCAUAUCAGAUUAAUACCAUAUUAUACCGAGCAUGUGGGCAGUUAUGUUAACCAAUUUGUAUUAUGUCUUUCACACGUUUUCCACUUUGCUCACUUAUGUCAAGAGAUAUAUAUCCCACCAUACUCUGCAAAGCUAAAUGUAGCUUUUGCCAUUAGCAAAUAUAAAGGCUGUCAAAGGCAAGAUAGGUUUCAGAGUAGCAGCCGUGUUAGUCUGUAUCCGCAAAAAGAACAGGAGUACUUGUGGCACCUUAGAGACUAACAAAUUUAUUAGAGCAUAAGCUUUCGUGGGCUACAGCCCACUUCUUCGGAUGCCUCAUUCUAUGUCCUUGUACCAGUAACUUCAUGGGCAACUGGUUUAAAAUGUUGUAUCCAAAAGAGAGAAAAGGGAAGGUACAGAACCACAAGUUAAGGAACUCGACAAACUGGUGAGUUGGAUCUCAGGUGACACAAAGUGCAUUCUAACUUUGAAGCAACAAUAUAAGUGAGUUUGGGGGUAUAUUUUGAAGACCACCUACUGUGUAAGGUGAAAAUGCUGUGAGAUAAACAUUUCUUCCCAAAAGGAAGGGUAUGUAUGUCUGUUUCAUACUGUACUACUUUGUCUUAGACAAUAAACUUUGGCUAAGCUUG